rnacentral:miRNA from 1 species
CGUUGAUGAUGAUGAUGAUGAUGAUGAUGAUGAUGAUCGUCACCAUGAUCAUCAUCACACCAA